UGUGUCCCCUCCACUGGGCCAAAGGACAUUGGUGACUAGAUUACAGUGUACUGUAUGUCGUUCUUUCUUCAUAUAAGUAACAUUUUGUAAAUAAUAAUGGGGUAUACGUUGAGGUUUUGUUUUGGUUUUUCUUUCUUUCUGGUAUUCCAAAGUAGAAAGGAUUUUUUCCAGAACACAAACACUUGACAGUUAUCAAGAUUAAGAAAAUGAAAAUCUAAAGUUCUUGCCAUUUGUUGUUACAUUUACAGUAACUGCCAAUUAUGUGCAUAUCACUUUCCAUUGUAAAAAAAAACCACACACACACACACAAACCGAAAACAGGAUGUUGCCUGAAAGAGCCUUACUUAAUAAAUACCAACAUCUGUAUUAGUGGGUACCUUUGUUAGGUUAACUUAAAGAGUUGGUCUAAUACAGGUACAACACAAAUGUUGAGAAUGUUUCUUCUGGUUAGCAUUUUCUUGUGGUUAGCAAAAUGCUAGUGAGAUAGAGAAAGCUUAUACAAUUUUGAGGGAUGUCAGCAUUUUAAAUGCACUGACCAAAUAACUUUCAAUGGCCUUCAAAAUAAUUUCCUUUGCUAUAGCAUUUACUAUUGUUGCUAAUGUGGUCAUCCAUAUCCUAAGCUACCCAAAUAUUUCUGCGAUAUGCAGAAAACAAAAUUAAUCAAAGGUCAAAGAGAUUUAUGAAAACCAAAACAGAAUAUUUAAAAAACCUGGCUGUCAAGUCUUCACGUGUCUACAAAUGUAUUUUUUUUUCCAAAGGAUGUUUAUCAACUUACUUAAUUUUAUCAAUUUAUUUAGAAAUCAAGCCAUAGGUAAAUGCUUGUAAUGUCCCUUUGGAUUUCAGUGGGCAAGAGCUCUAAAGAUUUAAAUCAGCAUUCUAUAAAUAUUCUGAAUGCCUGGAUUCUAGAUAGUUCUAGAAAUAAUAUGCUUUCAGAGUCAAGCUUACGGCCCUCAAACACAGAAAUUCAUGCUGCCAGUACAGGACACUGUAGUUGAAUAUAUAUAUAUAUGUAUAUGUGUGUGUGUGCGUAAUGUACCUAAGAUGUACUAUUGCCUAAUCAGAUGCUGCAAAAAUAAAUGUGCUUUAAAAAUCAUUGAAAGAAAUCUAUUACAAGGGGUUUUUCCCCCUAGAAUCUACAUGGCCAUUUGAAAGAAUAAUAGCAAAUGUUAACUUGCACAGUUCUUAGCAUGGCCAGCUACGCAAUUGAAAUUAAGGGCAUUAUUACAGUAUUGAAAGAGAAUGUGGUAGUAUUCCUUUAAAACUUUUAAUAAUUUUACUGAGACAUGCUCAGGAGAAUUUCCAGGUGGAUUACUUUAUUAUCCUUCAUUUACUGUACAGGUAAGCAAAUGCUGUCAGUGAUUAAUUAAAUCUCAGAUCUUAAAACAAUGAGAAAUGCUCAGGUACAUUAGUAUGACCAUUUGCAUAUGAGAUGCAUGCACACAUACUAGUGGUUGUGUCUUCACUUAGAAAUUAUCUUCUUUCAGACCUAAGUAUUUUCUUGAAGUGUAAAAGCCCUUUAAUGGUCAGGAACAAAGUGGAUUAUUUCAUGGUAUCUCCUAUAUUUAUUAGUUAUUUUAACUAAAGCGUGGAAGAAUAUACACAUGUGCUUGUAAUAUCCCACAGAAUUCAGUGAAAUUUACUUCUGAAUAGCUAUGCACAGGAUUGCGCUAUUAAUUUUUUUUUUUAUGUCUCCUUAGGAUGUAAACAUUUUACUUCCACUGACCACAGUCAGAGAUAGAGCAGGAUGUCCAUACAUACCAUAAACAGAUGCACAGUUAUUAAUCAGCUAUCACUCAGUAUACAAACAAAAGUACAGUACCUUACCUUUACCAAGUAAGUUCUCUGGACCCAAAGGGAACAAAUCAAAGCCACUCUCUUUCAAUCUUCAAAACUUUAAGUGACUUUGAAACAUGGUACUUUCAAACAUAUAAAUCGUAUUGUUAAUUCUGUACCACCCAUCCACUACCCACCCCAUUUUAGUUUUAGAGAUAUCCACAACAGAAACAUUACAGGGUCAAAUUCAAUGCUACAGAAGUCGACUUCUGCUUUUGCAAUGGGAGUUUUCUUUCUCCUUAUUGAAGUCCGUUGCAUGACCACAAAAUGUGGUCUGGAGGAUUCCCCAGAUAUCUGAAGAAAAUUUGGCCGGGGGCAGCUGCAAAGGGAAAUUUGAUCUGCUUGCUGUUUCUGCUCCACCAGCAGAAGGGCACCACUAGAUACUGUAUAACUGUUUAUACAGAAGUUAAAAAACAAAGGCAAAAUCUCUUUCUCUAUAAAGGGGGUGCCAUGUAAUUAUCUCGGUACAGGAGUUCCAGCAUUUCCAAGCAACAAUCAGUAAGGUGGCAUAAGCGGCUAAAGGAAUAUUGUCAUAUACGUACAUCGGACACCUCUAAAAUGUAGCAGUUUUCAACAGAAUAUGAAUUUAAUCAGCAAAGUACUGUGAAAGUACUAAAGUGGUUAAAUAAAUCGGAACAAUAUAAUACUUGGUACAACUAAAAGUUCUGUAGAAAAGGAAUUUCUUAAAUCGGAUUAUUAUGAACGUUCAUUGAGUUGUGAAGAAAUAAAUUUAAAUAUAUUUUUCUAACAUACCAUAUUUAAUACUAGUAUGGAAGAAUUUUGAAAAAGUAAUGAAACAGAUUAAAAUACACAGUAUUUUGACUGGAAACCUAAAGCUGAUGUUUGCAAUUACAAAUAAUACUGCAUCUCAAAUAAUAACAUACGUAUAUUGGCAACUAAAUAUUUCAGGGAAUGCUAUGGGGAUGGAUAUAUAUUUUCAGAAAUAUAAUGCAUCAUCUCCAUCACCAUGCUUUUAAGAAACACUCUUCUCUGAAUUCUUGGUAUACCCACUUACCUGUUUCUGUAGAAAUUUCACAAAUCUUAUUUAUUCCUCUUUAGGGUGCUACGUGUGUCUUCACUGUUUUUCUUAACACAGACUAAUGUCAAUUUGUCUGAAGUUUAUUACUACAGAAUUAUCCCCAUGCAAAUUCAUUUGUAGAUAAUUCAUCCCUUUUUGUAUUUUUGCAGCUAUCAAAAAUGAUUAUUACUGGAAUAGAAAAUAAGUUUUUGUGUGGUGAAUUAAACAAGUUAAAAAUUUAAAGAACCCACCGUAUGAGGAAAUCAUUAUAAUGCUUAAGGCAACAGAAUCCAAACAAUAAAAUGCAACCUUCUGGAAAAGAGGGAUUUGGGAGACAGGAUAAAACAAAGGUUCACAAAUGCUGAGUAUGGGAAAAAGGAGAUCCCAUGCUGAUAAAUGAGCAUGAGGGGGCAAAUGUCUUACAAAGCAGUGCACUCAAAGCAAUUUUCAUCAUGCAUGAUGGAUUAACCCAGGAAUAAACUGAGCAAUUUCUCCCCAAACUUGGAAAUAGAUCUGCUUAUUGCCAGUCUAAACUGAACUACCCCUGCUGCCACUCCACCGCACACAAAAGGCGAGGAUCGUGAAGGCUUCCAGGACUGCACAAACUUUCAUGCAAACAGCAGCUUUGCAACUGAAGAAAUGUUCUUCCAGAAGGAAUUAGAUGAAUGAUUCCAAUCACAGACGGAACACUCAGUGAUCUUCAGUGGAAAAACUGGCGUGUGUGGGAAGGGUAACUGUCACUUCCCUAAAACUGUGUUCCCUCUUGUGGGGGCUACAGUUCUCUCUCGUUCUCUUGAACACACACACGUACAUGUUACUAUUUACUAUCGUUUAGUCGUGUCCGACUCUUCAUGACCCCAUGGA